GACGAACGCUGGCGGCGUGCUUAACACAUGCAAGUCGAACGGAAAGGCCCUGCUUUUGUGGGGUGCUCGAGUGGCGAACGGGUGAGUAACACGUGAGUAACCUGCCCUUGACUUUGGGAUAACUUCAGGAAACUGGGGCUAAUACCGGAUAGGAGCUCCUGCUGCAUGGUGGGGGUUGGAAAGUUUCGGCGGGUGGGGAUGGACUGGCGGCUUAUCAGCUUGUUGGUGGGGUAGUGGCUUACCAAGGCUUUGACGGGUAGCCGGCCUGAGAGGGUGACCGGCCACAUGGGGACUGAGAUACGGCCCAGAGUCCUACGGGAGGCAGCAGUGGGGAAUAUUGCACAAUGGGCGGAAGCCUGAUGCAGCAACGCCGCGUUCGUGAUGACGGCCUUCGGGUUGUAAACCGCUUUCGCCUGUGACGAAGCGUGAGUGACGGUAAUGGGUAAAGAAGCACCGGCUAACUACGUG
rnacentral:rRNA from 1 species